AAGAAGGUCUUCGGAUUGUAAACUCCUGUUGUUGAGGAAGAUAAUGACGGUACUCAACAAGGAAGUGACGGCUAACUACGUGCCAGCAGCCGCGGUAAAACGUAGGUCACAAGCGUUGUCCGGAAUUACUGGGUGUAAAGGGAGCGCAGGCGGGAAGGCAAGUUGGAAGUGAAAUCCAUGGGCUCAACCCAUGAACUGCUUUCAAAACUGUUUUUCUUGAGUAGUGCAGAGGUAGGCGGAAUUCCCGGUGUAGCGGUGGAAUGCGUAGAUAUCGGGAGGAACACCAGUGGCGAAGGCGGCCUACUGGGCACCAACUGACGCUGAGGCUCGAAAGUGUGGGUAGCAAACAGGAUUAGAUACCCUGGUAGUCCACACUGUAAACGAUGAUUACUAGGUGUUGGAGGAUUGACCCCUUCAGUGCCGCAGUUAACACAAUAAGUAAUCCACCUGGGGAGUACGACCGCAAGGUUGCAACUCAAAUGAAUUGACGGA
rnacentral:rRNA from 1 species